GCCCUUGUNAUCGGUGUCGAUUUAGCCAUGCGAGUUGCACGUUUAACGUAGCAAACUGCUCAGUAACACGUGGCCAAACUGCCCUAUGGAUCGGGAUAACCUCGGGAAACUGAGGCUAAUCCCGAAUAGUACAUCCAGCCUGGAACUGGCGGAUGUGUGAAACGCUCCGGCGCCAUAGGAUGUGGCUGCGGCCGAUUAGGUAGACGGUGGGGUAACGGCCCACCGUGCCGAUAAUCGGUACGGGUCAUGAGAGUGAGAGCCCAGAGACGGACUCUGAGACACGAGUCCGGGCCCUACGGGGCGCAGCAGGCGCGAAACCUUUACACUGCACGACAGUGCGAUAGGGGGACACCGAGUGCGAGGGUAUAGAGCCCUCGCUUUUGUAGACCGUAAGGAGGUCCACGAAUAAGGGCUGGGCAAGACCGGUGCCAGCCGCCGCGGUAACACCGGCAGCUCGAGUGAUGGCCGAUAUUAUUGGGCCUAAAGCGUCCGUAGCUGGCCGCACAAGUCCGUCGGGAAAUCCACUCGCUUAACGAGUGGGCGUCCGGCGGAAACUGUGCGGCUUGGGACCGGAAGAUCCGAGGGGUACGUCCGGGGUAGGAGUGAAAUCCCGUAAUCCUGGACGGACCACCGAUGGCGAAAGCACCUCGGAAGGACGGAUCCGACAGUGAGGGACGAAAGCUAGGGUCUCGAACCGGAUUAAAUACCCGGGUAGUCCU
rnacentral:rRNA from 1 species